AGAACGAACGCUGGCGGCAGGCCUAACACAUGCAAGUCGAACGCUCGUAGCAAUACGGGAGUGGCGCACGGGUGAGUAACGCGUGGGCACCUGCCCGGUGGUUUGGGAUAACCGUGGGAAACUGCGGCUAAUACCGGAUACGCCCCUAGGGGGAAAGAUUUAUCGCCAUCGGAUGGGCCCGCGUAGGAUUAGCUAGUUGGUGAGGUAACGGCUCACCAAGGCUACGAUCCUUAGCUGGUCUGAGAGGAUGAUCAGCCACACUGGGACUGAGACACGGCCAGACUCCUACGGGAGGCAGCAGUGGGGAAUAUUGGACAAGUGGGGACAACCCUGAUCCAGCCAUGCCGCGUGAGUGAAGAAGGUCCUUGGUUAGUAAGCGUCGUUUGGCGGGACGAGUGAGUGACGGUACCCG
rnacentral:rRNA from 1 species